AUUGAACGCUGGCGGCAUGCCUUACACAUGCAAGUCGAACGGUAACAGGUUAAGCUGACGCGUUGCGAAGUGGCGAGUAAUGUAUGGGAACGUGCCCAAUCGUGGUGUAUAACUUCUCGGAAGAUCAGCUAAGACCGCAUACGACCUGACGGUAUACGCCGUAGAUGUCAAGACCUCGCGCGAUUGGAGCUUCCGAUAUCAGAUUAGGUAGUUGGCGAGGUAAAGGCUCACCAAGGCGACGAUCCGUAGCUGGUCUGAGAGGAUGACCAGCCACACUGGAACUGAGACACGGUCCAGACUCCUACGGGAGGCAGCAGUGGGGAAUAUUGGACAAUGGGCGCAAGCCUGAUCCAGCCAUGCCGCGUGGGGGAAGAAGGCCUUCGGGUUGUAAACCGCUUUUGUCAGGGAAGAAAAGGUUCUGGCUAAUACCUGGGAGUCCUGACGGUACCUAAAGAAUAAGCACCGGCUAACUACGUG
rnacentral:rRNA from 1 species